GCCACCGUAGUAUAACGGUAACACGUCCGACCCGGCUUGUCAGAAGACGUGGGUUCGAAUCCCAUCAGAGGCG